UAGAUAAGUAAAGAUAUCCCAAAAAAAAGACUUUAGUAGUACCUCAAAAAAAUAAUCCAGGAGACGGAGCGGCAGCGGAGGUGAGUUGAUGAGAGUGAAUAGGCAGAUCCAAUGAAGUCACUGAAACCACCGACGGCCAGGCAAGGCAAGGGAGUUGGAUGUUCCGGGAGGAUGACUGUAGACAGAGUAAACGGGGGGAAUGGAUGUCAGGUUAGAGCUUAUGAAGAGAAGAGGUGAUGAUCAGGACCAGGUGUGCUGAUGAGAUGCAGUGCAUGCAUUCAACACGCUUUGGACAAAGGACUUCCACAGGGCCGGCAUCUCCAAAGUUCACUCAAAAAGGCAAUAGUUCUGAACUGGGAUUGAUGAUGUUUUUCUUGUUUUAAUUAUUUAACUGUUUUUCAUUCUCUUUUAAACUUCUAUUAGUUGAAUGCUUGUUGCUUAGUUAUCACAUGGCUCAAGUAAAUUCGGCAGUUGCCUCAUUAAACAUAGUAAGGUUAACAUCCCUAUAGUGUUCACAUUUCUCGCAUGUAAAUGUUGUAAGAAGAUACAAAUAUAUAAUAAAC
rnacentral:lncRNA from 1 species